UGGGCUGCUACAGAUGAUUAUAUGAUAUGCAGACAUUUGGCCUCAGCUUCAGCAGGGAAGAAUUCCUCUAAUUUCAGCUCGGAGGAAAGCUUCUGGACAGCUUUGGCUUUUUUACAUCAGUACCAUACAGGCAGUACCAACUCCUGUUCCAUUCACCACAUUUUUCUGGACCAUGGCUCUCCACACUAUGUUUCCUACUUAAAUAGCUGCAUUUGCAAUAAGUUUUGUCAGAGUGUCUUGCUUAUGGAAACCAAUAAUUGUCCUUAAUUACUCUCUCCUCUCAUUGAGCAGAUGUUUAUUUUUCUAUAGCAAUUGUUAUCUCUAAUUAUUGUCUUUAAAAUAAACACAGUUUUAUAGCAAGUGA